rnacentral:tRNA from 1 species
UCUUUCUGUAGUAUUAACUGUUUGGUAUGUGUGCUUUCCAAGCACGAGGUCUGCGGAAUUGGCAGUGGAAUGAU